AUUGAACGCUGGCGGCAUGCCUUACACAUGCAAGUCGAACGGUAACAGGUCUUCGGAUGCUGACGAGUGGCGAACGGGUGAGUAAUACAUCGGAACGUGCCCGAUCGUGGGGGAUAACGGAGCGAAAGCUUUGCUAAUACCGCAUACGAUCUACGGAUGAAAGCAGGGGACCGCAAGGCCUUGCGCGGACGGAGCGGCCGAUGGCAGAUUAGGUAGUUGGUGGGAUAAAAGCUUACCAAGCCGACGAUCUGUAGCUGGUCUGAGAGGACGACCAGCCACACUGGGACUGAGACACGGCCCAGACUCCUACGGGAGGCAGCAGUGGGGAAUUUUGGACAAUGGGCGAAAGCCUGAUCCAGCCAUGCCGCGUGCAGGAUGAAGGCCUUCGGGUUGUAAAUUGCUUUUGUACGGAACGAAAAGACUCUUUCUAAUAAAGAGGGUCCAUGACGGUACCGUAAGAAUAAGCACCGGCUAACUACGUG
rnacentral:rRNA from 1 species